UCGUUUUUUGGACAUUCUGAGUUCGCACUCGGUGUGGAAGGAGCUGAGCAAGGAUUUAACCCCUAGAGGAGAGUACAGAAACCGGAUCGAACAUGUCUGCCCGCCAUCUAUUCGCUUUUUGCGUGGUUUUCGCGCUUUUUGUGAUGUACGCGACAGCGCAAAACACAACAGCGGCUGCUCCUAGUGGGAAUGCCACUUCACCGGUUACCUCAGCGCCUGGCAACAUGACCACCACACCCUCUCCUAGUGGAACGACAGCCACAGUCUCCAGCCUGGUAACUGUUGCUGUGGUAACUGCUGUUGCUGCCAUGCUAUCCUAAGCCAAAGAUGUCACCGGAGCACAACCAUUCCACAAACCACCUGCAACUUAGCAGCCAGCCAGCUGCAACUUUCCACAAACCACCUGCAACCAGUCAGCUGCAACUUUCUCCAAACCACCUGCACUAUAGCAACCGGACUGCUGCAACCUAGCUUUCAUCAACCACCUGCAACCUAGCAACUGCAACUUUACCUAGCAACAAGACAGCCACAACUUUCCAUAAACCACCUGCGUUCUGCAACCUAGCAACCAGACAGUCGCUACUUUCCACAGAACACCUGCAACCUAGCAACGAGGCAGCUGCAACUUUCCACAAACCACCUGCAACUCAGUAACAGUAACUUUCCACAAGCCCACCACAACAGUUGAACUUUUCACACACCACGGUCACUGCAACCUAGCAAAGGGUAGCCACAACUUGCCACAACCAGAAAACCAGAACUUUUCACUGCUUUAACAGAGCCAGGAUGUUGAUUCACUUGGCAGUUUUGUUAUCUUGCAUUGGCCAUUGCAGAUUCUAGGACAGAUAUGAAAACAAAAUUCCAUGAUGACCCUGUACUGUGUUCUGUCAGCAUUUUAGUUUCAGGACAAAUACAGCACCAUUCCAUCAGUUACAUUCUCAUGGCUUACAACAGAUUUGCAUUCCAAUGAGUGUUUUAAGUUGAUAACAAAGAAUUACCUAUUAAAAUAAUGUGGUGAUAUAUAUUGGCAGUGUACUUAACGUUUUAGGCCAUAUCUGUGACAAUGGAGCACCUUUCAUUGCUCUAACACUGUAAUUAUUGUUUCAUUGGUGGUUUUGUUAUCCUGUACUUCUAGCAGUUACUCUCAUCUCUUAGUUUGUUCAGUGGAUUGGAUGAUUAAGAUGUUCCUCGGUUCAGCCAACAGCUGUAUUUCCAUAGCCGUGUUGAUGUGAAUGUUUUAUUGUUGUUGAAGACAUUUUAUCUUUAGAGGUAAGAUUUUACCUGGGGAAUGAUGUGCCUAUGGAUGCCUAGAUAGCCACUGCUUGCUAAUAAAACAAAGAUGCAUCAAUUUCCAUGGAAAACAGGGCCUUUUGUAGCUUAGAAUCACUUAAAAGCGGACCUUUUUGACUCUUCAGUGUUAGAGCCAUCCAACACCAAGAUGCUUGAUUGGUUAUUGGAGCCAGAAUUUUAUUGGUUGCUGAAGCUAUGCUUUCAUUGGUUGCUGAAGCAAGGAUUCUGAUUCACUGUUGAAGCCAAGCUGUGAUUGGUCAUUACAAAAUUGUGGUCUGUGAUAGGCUGUGACCAACAUUGAGUGCUCAAAAAAGUAAAAGGAACACCGAGAUUAGAACUGAUGCAAAAGCCCUGGUUUCCAUGGCGAUAGAGAUGCGAGAUGGUAAAGAAAAAAAAGCUAUUUUUGCAAGCAACUUGCUAUCAUGUGACAGGCUGGGCGAUGGAGGUGCAUGACUAACUUGAUUUGGUGACGGUUAGGAAAGCCUUGGUCCCAGCCUUGAUUUUUGCUAACAUAGCUUCUAGUUUCAUACAGAAUGAGAGGAAUUUGGCAGAUUGAUAUAUGACAAGUACAUGUCAAAAGUUUCACGUUGUUUUGCACCUAGUAGCUGCAGAGAAAGUCAACACUAGCCCCUCAAGUAGAUGAUUUGGACUAACCUAAAAAUUACUAAAGCCAAAAAUUGAGAAAAUAUAACCUGGAUAUUAAGACACCUGUACCCAUAUCAGCCUAUGAGGUGUUUGACUCUUGUAAUCUGUUGUGAAAGUUUCCCAACAAGCCUGCUAACCAGGCUACAGUUGAUGCAGGUAUUUAGAAGUCUUGUUUCUCUAAAUCAUCUGCUCGGGGGUUGAUUUUCUGUGUGUUUGUAAUCUUUUGUGGUUAAUGAGUGGACAACAUUUUGCUUGUGUAAAAUUUAUCAUGUGUAUCUUGCAAUAAAAGUUCCGUUUCCCACA